GUGCACUUAGCUUAGUUGGUGAAAGCAUUGCUCAUGAAGUUUGGGGUUGUGGGUUUGAGUCCUGUAGUGCACA
rnacentral:tRNA from 1 species